UUUUUUUUUUUUGUAUUUGUAGUAGAGACGGGGUUUCACUGUGUUAGCCAGGAUGGUCUCGAUCUCCUGACCUCGUGAUCUGCCCACCUCGGCCUCCCAAAGUGCUGGGAUUACAGGCAUGAGCCACCACUCCCGGCUUACUUUUACAUUUGAAGAAAAGGAAGGUAUAGAAUGCCAAAUUUUUCGGUGGAGACGUGAUACCCAGAAUAAAUACUAUAUUUCCCAGAGAAUUUUGCUGCUAAUUGUGGUUAGGAGACUGUGUUGGGCUAAUGGGAUGGAUGUGGACUAAGAAACUGCAUAAUAUGAUAGUUGUAAAGUUCCUUUGGAUUUCUUCUGUGCUAUCUGGAGUGUGGAUGUGAUGGCUGGAGCACUAGCCAAUGUCCUGGACCAUAAAGGAUGAAGGCCACACCUUGCUUUUGGAAUAGUUGGAUAAAGAAGUCUAGGAUCCUGAGGUCUUUGUAGAGACAGAAAUAAAUUGCUUGGUUGUUUAAACCACUGUUAUUUUAUUUUAUUUAUAAUUUUUUUAAGACAGAGUCUGGCUUUGUUGCCCAGGCUGGAGUUCAGUGGCACGAUCUCACCUCACUGCAGCCCAACUUCCGCCUCCUGGGUUCAAGUGAUUCUCCUGCCUCAGCCUCCCAGGUAGCUGGGACUUCAGUAGGUGUGCACUAUCAUGCCUGGCUAAUUUUUGUAUUGUUAGAAGAGACAGGGUUUCACUAUGUUGGCCAGGCUGGUCUCAAACUCCUGACCUCGAGUAAUCCGCUUGACUUGGCCUCCCGAGUCCUGGGAUUACAGGUGUGAGCCACUGUGCCCAGCCUCACUGUUAUUUUAGGUCUCUGCUCCAAGCAGUGGAAACUGCUUGCUUUGUAAAAGCUGUUCCCUCUGCCUGACAGUUUGCUUGAAGUAUUGGUCUAGGUUGCCUAGAGAAACAGAACUAAUAGGAUGGAUGGAUGGGAAAAUAGAUAGGUAGACAGACAGACAGAUAGAUGAGAGGGGAUUUAUUAGGAGAAUUGGCUCAUGCAGUUAUGGAAGCUGAGGCCUCACGACAUGCUGUCGAAAGGCGGAGGACCAGGGAAGCAGGUAGGGUGGCUCAGUCCAAGUCCAGAGACUUGAGAACCAGGGGAGUCAAUGGUGUAACUCUCAGUCCAAGGCCAAAGACCUGAGAACAUAGGGGUCUGCUGGUGCAAGUUCUACAGUCCAAAGACUGGACAACAUGGGGUUCUGAUGUGCAAGGCAAGAAAAGAUGGGUGUUUCCGUUGAAGGGGAAGAGGGGGAGUUCUUUCCUCUGCCUUUUUGUUCGAUCUGGGUCCUCAGUUGAUUGGAUGGCGCCUGCACACAUUGGGUGAGGGCAGAUCUUCCUUACUCCGUCCACUCAUUCAAAUGCCAAUCUCUUCCAGAAACAUCCUUGGAGACAUACCCAGAAAUAAUGCUUUACCCGCUAUGUGGGUAUCCCCUUAAUCCAGUCAAGCUGACACCUAAAUUAGCCGUCACACUCAACAAACUUCUAUUUAUCUUUCAAGACUGAGAUCAAUCCAUUUCCUCCUCUGUGGAACUUCUGAUCUCCACCUGGGGAUUUAAUUCUUCUUUGGCUUCAUACCAGUUCUUAAUCUUUUGCAUAGUUUUAUAGCAAGCUGCACAUUUCCGUUUAUAAAUUUGUCUCCCUACUAAAACAGUCUCUCACUUAAAAAAUAAUUGGAAUUUUUGUUUUCUUUGAGACAGAGUUUCACUUCUGUUGCCCAGGCUGGAGUGCAAUGGCACGAUCUCGGCUCAACCUCCACCUCCCAAGUAGUUCAAGUGAUUCUCCUGCCUCAGCCUCCCAAGUAGCUGGGAUUACAGGCGCCCACCACCACGCCCAGCUAAUUUUUUGUAUUUUUAGUAGAGAUGGGAGUUCACCAUGUUGGCCAGGCUGGUCUUGAACUCCUGACUCCUGACUUCAGGUGAUCCACCCGCCUCAGCCUUCCAAAGUGCUGGGAUUACAGGCGUGAGCCACCGUGCCCGGCCUGAGAUCUCUUUGAAUAAACAUAAAAAAUCUCAUGGCUCAUGCAGAUUCUGAAACUGCCCACCAAAUCUAUUGCAAUAUUGAAUAUGCCAAUCCUGCAAGCCACCACUACCUAUCCAAAGAUUCUGAUUUACUUUUUUUUCUUUUUUUGAGACAUGGUCUUGUUCUGUUGCCCAGGCUGGAGUGCAGUGGCAUGAUCUGAUCUCGCUGCAACCUCUGUCUCCCAGGUUCAAGCGAUUCUCCUGCCUCAGCCUGACAUGCAGCUCGGACUACAGGCAUGCACCACCACACCCUGCUAAUUUUUUUUUGUUUUAGUAGAGACAGGAUUUCGACAUGUUGCCCAGGCUGGUCUGGAAUUCCUGGGCUCAAGCGAUCCACCCACCUUGGCCUCCCAAAGCGCUGGGAUUACAGGUGUGAGCCACUAGGCCCGGCAUUGAUGUAUAUUCUUUGAGGCGGAAUUUCGCUCUUCUCACCCAGGCUGGAGUGCAGUGGUGCGAUCUUGGCUCACUGCAACUUCCACCUCCUGGGUUCAAGGGAUUCUCCUGCCUCAGCCUCCUGAGUAGCUGGAAUUACAGGUGCCUGCCACCAUGCCCAGCUAAUUUUUUAUAUUUUUAGUAGAGACGGGGUUUCGCCAUGUUGGGCAAGCUGGUCUCAAACUCCUGACCUCAGGUGAUCCACCUGCCUUGGCCUCCCAAAGUGCUGGGAUUACAGGAGUGAGUCACCACACCCAGCACUGAUGUACUUUUUAGGAUAAGAAUAACCUUCCUCUCCUCUCCUGGUCCACUCAAUUGAUCCAUUGAAUAAAUACCUAUUUGGUUGGGCACUGAGGUAGAUGCUGGGGAGAAGAGGUUUGGGUUCUGCCCUCAAAGAGCCUGCAAUGUGCUAGGUGAGACAGAUCCUCAAAUAAUAAUAUGACAUACGGAGAAGAGAAGUAGGAGAGAUGAGGAAAUAAUUCAUUCUGUUCUCAGGCACAGGUUAUGAUGAUGCCUGGACUACAUUCUGAAAGAAUAAUACUUUACCCAAUGGACUGGGGAAAGGGGAGAAAAGGGUAACAGAAGAUAUAAUGGGCAGAAGGAAUAACAUGUGUGAAGGCGCAGAGGCAUAAAAUACGUGAUUAAUUUUAGUCAUGAGCAUUGCACUCAGGUCUUACGAAGUUUCCCUGCAAACACAUUCACAGAACAUUUCUUAGGGUGAGUUACCUCUACAGAUGGUGCAUCUCGUCGAUUAUGUCUUGAUUUAUCACUGUUUUAAUUCUGAGGACAAUGUUUCCCUGAGCCUGUUCCCUAGACUCCAUACCACUUGGUAAUGACUGAAGCUGUUAAUUAUACUGUUCCUGGAAAAAAUUUUCCCUAGUGCCAGUUCAAGGCCCCACCAUUGACUCAUCCUGCAGUUAUGUACAUUCAGGAGCUCUUCCUUCUAAAGGCUUAUUC
rnacentral:lncRNA from 10 species